UGGUGGAGUGAUUUGUCUGGUUAAUUCCGUUAACGAACGAGACCUUAACCUGCUAAAUAUGCCGCGCUAACCCGUCCAUCAAACCCAUGCGUGGCUCACGCGGUCCGCUGCGGGGUGGUGUCGCUUCGCGGCGAUGUCAUCCCGCCGGCAGGGCCCGGGUCCGUGUGGGCGGUAGGGUUCGGCGUCCGUGCUUCUUAGAGGGACUGCUGCGCGCCUAGCCAGCGGAAGUUUGAGGCAAUAACA
rnacentral:rRNA from 1 species